AACGUAGGUGGCAAGCGUUAUCCGGAUUUACUGGGCGUAAAGCGUGCGCAGGCGGUUUUGUAAGACUGUCGUGAAAUCCCCGGGCUCAACCUGGGAAUGGCGAUGGUGACUGCAAGGCUAGAGUUUGGCAGAGGGGGGUAGAAUUCCACGUGUAGCAGUGAAAUGCGUAGAUAUGUGGAGGAACACCGAUGGCGAAGGCAGCCCCCUGGGUCAAAACUGACGCUCAUGCACGAAAGCGUGGGGAGCAAACAGG
rnacentral:rRNA from 1 species